GACGAACGCUGGCGGCGUGCUUAACACAUGCAAGUCGAACGGAAAGGCCCUGCUUUUGUGGGGUGCUCGAGUGGCGAACGGGUGAGUAACACGUGAGUAACCUGCCCUUGACUUUGGGAUAACUUCAGGAAACUGGGGCUAAUACCGGAUAGGAGCUCCUGCUGCAUGGUGGGGGUUGGAAAGUUUCGGCGGUUGGGGAUGGACUCGCGGCUUAUCAGCUUGUUGGUGGGGUAGUGGCUUACCAAGGCUUUGACGGGUAGCCGGCCUGAGAGGGUGACCGGCCACAUUGGGACUGAGAUACGGCCCAGACUCCUACGGGAGGCAGCAGUGGGGAAUAUUGCACAAUGGGCGGAAGCCUGAUGCAGCAACGCCGCGUGCGGGAUGACGGCCUUCGGGUUGUAAACCGCUUUCGCCCGUGACGAAGCGUGAGUGACGGUAAUGGGUAAAGAAGCACCGGCUAACUACGUGCCAGCAGCCGCGGUGAUACGUAGGGUGCGAGCGUUGUCCGGAUUUAUUGGGCGUAAAGGGCUCGUAGGUGGUUGAUCGCGUCGGAAGUGUAAUCUUGGGGCUUAACCCUGAGCGUGCUUUCGAUACGGGUUGACUUGAGGAAGGUAGGGGAGAAUGGAAUUCCUGGUGGAGCGGUGGAAUGCGCAGAUAUCAGGAGGAACACCAGUGGCGAAGGCGGUUCUCUGGGCCUUUCCUGACGCUGAGGAGCGAAAGCGUGGGGAGCGAACAGGCUUAGAUACCCUGGUAGUCCACGCUGUAAACGGUGGGUACUAGGUGUGGGGUCCAUUCCACGGGUUCCGUGCCGUAGCUAACGCUUUAAGUACCCCGCCUGGGGAGUACGGCCGCAAGGCUAAAACUCAAAGGAAUUGACGGGGCCCCGCACAGGCGGCGGAGCAUGCGGAUUAAUUCGAUGCAACGCGUAGAACCUUACCUGGGUUUGACAUGGAUCGGGAGUGCUCAGAGAUGGGUGUGCCUCUUUUGGGGUCGGUUCACAGGUGGUGCAUGGCUGUCGUCAGCUCGUGUCGUGAGAUGUUGGGUUAAGUCCCGCAACGAGCGCAACCCUUGUUCACUGUUGCCAGCACGUUAUGGUGGGGACUCAGUGGAGACCGCCGGGGUCAACUCGGAGGAAGGUGGGGAUGACGUCAAGUCAUCAUGCCCCUUAUGUCCAGGGCUUCACGCAUGCUACAAUGGCUGGUACAGAGAGUGGCGAGCCUGUGAGGGUGAGCGAAUCUCGGAAAGCCGGUCUCAGUUCGGAUUGGGGUCUGCAACUCGACCUCAUGAAGUCGGAGUCGCUAGUAAUCGCAGAUCAGCAACGCUGCGGUGAAUACGUUCCCGGG
rnacentral:rRNA from 1 species